GUAGUAUUCCCUCCGUCCCAAAAUUCUUGUCUUACAUUUGUUUAGAUACGGAUGUAUCUAACACUAAAAUGUAACUAGAUACAUCCAUAUUUAGACAAAUUAAAGACAAGAAUUUUGGGACGGAGGGAGUACAAA
rnacentral:pre_miRNA from 1 species